UCCAAGUGAAGUAGAGGACAGUGGCGGACGGGUGAGUAACGCGUGAGGAACCUGCCUUUCAGAGGGGGACAACAGUUGGAAACGACUGCUAAUACCGCAUGGCACAUAGAUGUCGCAUGGCAUUUAUGUCAAAGAUUUAUCGCUUCAAGAUGGCCUCGCGUCUGAUUAGCUGGUUGGCGGGGUAACGGCCCACCAAGGCGACGAUCAGUAGCCGGACUGAGAGGGUGAUCGGCCACAUUGGAACUGAGACACGGUCCAAACUCC
rnacentral:rRNA from 1 species